AGUGAACGCUGGCGGUAGGCCUAACACAUGCAAGUCGAACGGCAGCACAGGAGAGCUUGCUCUCUGGGUGGCGAGUGGCGGACGGGUGAGGAAUACAUCGGAAUCUACUCUGUCGUGGGGGAUAACGUAGGGAAACUUACGCUAAUACCGCAUACGACCUACGGGUGAAAGCAGGGGACCUUCGGGCCUUGCGCGAUUGAAUGAGCCGAUGUCGGAUUAGCUGGUUGGCGGGGUAAAGGCCCACCAAGGCGACGAUCCGUAGCUGGUCUGAGAGGAUGAUCAGCCACCCUGGAACUGAGACACGGUCCAGACUCCUACGGGAGGCAGCAGUGGGGAAUAUUGGACAAUGGGCGCAAGCCUGAUCCAGCCAUACCGCGUGGGUGAAGAAGGCCUUCGGGUUGUAAAGCCCUUUUGUUGGGAAAGAAAUCCAGCUGGCUAAUACCCGGUUGGGAUGACGGUACCCAAAGAAUAAGCACCGGCUAACUUCGUGCCAGCCGCCGCCGUAA
rnacentral:rRNA from 1 species